UACAGAGGUCCCAAGCGUUGUUCGGAUUCAUUGGGCGUAAAGGGUGCGUAGGUGGCGCCAUAAGUCAGGUGUGAAAUUUCGGAGCUUAACUCCGAAACUGCAUUUGAUACUGUGGUGCUUGAGGACUGGAGAGGAGACUGGAAUUUACGGUGUAGCGGUGAAAUGCGUAGAUAUCGUAAGGAAGACCAGUGGCGAAGGCGGGUCUCUGGACAGUUCCUGACGCUGAGGCACGAAGGCCAGGGGAGCAAACGGG
rnacentral:rRNA from 1 species